rnacentral:lncRNA from 1 species
AGUUUGCAAGUUUCGAAGAUGGCAGCGAGACCAAACUGGAGCUCGUUGCCCAGUGUCCUUAUUGUGGAUAUUUUAUCCUACCUUUCGCACACAGACAGACUAAACGCUUCAACAAGUUGUAAAAGAUGGAGGAACUGUCUAUUUCAUCCAUUAUUUUGGCAGAAGAUUAAUUUUAGAACAAAAUAUUCAGACAGACAGAGGACGAAGUUUUUGACAGACAGAUGUGGGAGAUUCGUCAGACAAGUGGUUAUUAAUUUUGACUCCCACAAUCACAAAGAAGUUCGUGAAUGCUCACAGAUCUUAGAUGUACUUUGUGGAAAUAAGAAUCUCACAAGUUUUUCGUUGUUGCCUUCAAGUUGUCACAUUGAAUGGCCUGAUACACAAUCGACGUAUUUUAUUGACAGGU